UCUCGAUGGUAGUGUAUUGGACAACCAUGGCAUUCACGGGCUAUCGGGGGAUUAGGGUUCGAUUCCGGAGAGGGAGCCUGAGAAACGGCUACCACUUCUACGGAAGGCAGCAGGCGCGAAAAUUAUCCAAUCCUGAUUCAGGGAGGUAGUGAAAGAAAUAAUGAACUAGGAUUUAUCCUGGGGUCACAAUGGGCUUGAUUUGCAAACUUUAUUUAGCGAGGAACAAUUGGAGGGCAAGUCUGGUGCCAGCAGCCGCGGUAAUUCCAGCUCCAAUAGUGUAUAUUAAUGUUCCUGCAGUUAUUCGAUGCUCGUAGUUGGAUUUCUGGAGGCUGAGACAGGAGGGCAGCUAAGGUUGUCGCCAGCCUCUUCCUUCAUCCACCUGUUAAUGUUGUCCGGGAUUUAUUUCUCGGCUUCAGGCUCAGGUAUUUUACCCUUUCUAUAUAUUCAUUUAUUUAUCUUCUUUUUGAGCAAAUUAUAGUGUUUCAGGCAGGCGUGCGCCGGAAUACUUUAGCAUGGAAUAAUCGAACUGGACCGUGUAUUCUUUAUUAGAAUUCUUCCUUAUUUGUUGGUUUCAAGGACACGGAAAUGGUUAAUAGGGAUAGUAAUUUUCAGGGGAGGCAUUAGUAUUUAAUUUCCAGAGGUGAAAUUCUUUGAAAUAUUAAAGACUAACUUAUGCGAAAGCUAUUUAUUUUGCCUAAUAAUGUUUUCAUUAAUCAUUGAACGAAAGUUAGGGGAUCAAAGACGACAGAUCUGUC
rnacentral:rRNA from 1 species